AAAAAAGUUAAAAGAGAAUCCCAAUUCCCACCCGACGAUUAGUUGUAUAGCGUAUUUUUGCAGCUACCUCACCAAUAAUAGCAGUGUUGAAAGAAGAAGAUAAAGAGGCAAAGAGGGCGCAUCGCAUCGCAGAUCGAACGGAGCCAUGGAUCCAGACUCAGUUGCCAAAGCAUUCGUAGAUCACUACUACUCCACCUUCGAUUCCAAUCGGGCUGGCCUUGCUAACCUCUACCAAGAGGCUUCUAUGUUAAGUUUCGAAGGCGUCCAGAUUCAAGGUGCUCAGAGUAUCGUCGCUAAGCUCACCAGUCUUCCCUUCCAGCAGUGCAAGCAUCAUAUCAACACCGUCGAUUGUCAGCCCUCUGGUCCUGCCGGCGGUAUGCUUGUCUUUGUUAGCGGGAAUCUUCAACUCCCCGGAGAACAGCACGCCCUCAAGUUCAGUCAGAUGUUUCAUUUGAUGCCAACACCCCAAGGGAGCUUCUAUGUAUUGAAUGACAUAUUCCGGUUGAACUAUGCAUGAAGAAGGGUACUGGGGUUGAAUUGUCUUUUGUUCUUGUUUUCUUUGUUUGAACAAAAUUUACUGAAUAUAUUCUAAGAAUUUGAAAGGCAUUGCUUCAAAAGACUGGUUUGCUGGUUGUGGCUUGAUUAGUGAUCAAUGGAUUUAACUUUAUUAAAAAGCUAAUGGUAUAGCUUCCUUCUUGCGG
rnacentral:misc_RNA from 1 species